rnacentral:rRNA from 1 species
UACAGAGGGUGCAAGCGUUACUCGGAAUUACUGGGCGUAAAGCGUGCGUAGACGGUUAUGUAAGUCGGGUGUGAAAGCCCCGGGCUCAACCUGGGAAUUGCAUUCGAGACUGCAUAGCUAGGAUGCGGAAGAGGGAAGCGGAAUUUCCGGUGUAGCGGUGAAAUGCGUAGAUAUCGGAAGGAACACCAGUGGCGAAAGCGGCUUCCUGGUCCAGCAUCGACGUUCAGGCACGAAAGCGUGGGGAGCAAACGGG